UACGAACUGCGCGAACGUUAUUCGGAAUCACUGGGCUUAAAGGGUGCGUAGGCGGCCUGUUAAGUAGGGUGUGAAAUCUGUCGGCUCAACCGGCAGACUGCAUUCUAAACUGGCAGGCUUGAGUGAGUCAGGGGUGUGCGGAACUUCCGGUGGAGCGGUGAAAUGCGUUGAUAUCGGAAGGAACGCCGGUGGCGAAAGCGGCACACUGGGGCUUUUCUGACGCUGAGGCACGAAAGCCGGGGGAGCGAACAGG
rnacentral:rRNA from 1 species